rnacentral:rRNA from 1 species
CCUACGGGUGACAGCAGUAGGGAAUAUUGCUCAAUGGGGGAAACUCUGAAGCAGCAACGCCGCGUGGAGGAUGAAGGUUUUCGGAUUGUAAACUCCUUUUGUUAGAGAAGAUAAUGACGGUAUCUAACGAAUAAGCAUCGGCUAACUCCGUGCCAGCAGCCGCGGUAAUACGGAGGGUGCAAGCGUUACUCGGAAUCACUGGGCGUAAAGAGCGCGUAGGCGGGAUAGCAAGUCAGAUGUGAAAUCCUAUGGCUUAACCAAGGAACUGCAUUUAAAACUAUUAUUCUAGAGUAUGGGAGAGGUAGGUGGAAUUCUUGGUGUAGGGGUAAAAUCCGUAGAGAUCAGGAGGAAUACUCGUUGCGAAGGCGACCUGCUAGAACGUAACUGACGCUGAUGCACGAAAGCGUGGGGAGCAAACAGGAUUAGAUACCCGUGUAGUC